rnacentral:lncRNA from 1 species
UCACUUUUUUUUGGGUCGUUCCCUCUGUGCGCGCGGCUGCCCACCAACGCCGACCGCCACCUACCAAGAUUACCCACCCCAAUGAUGAACCACCAUCACCGGCUCUCUCCACCAUGGUAUAUCUCUCUCUCCAUCACCACUGAAUUUUCCCCCAAAGCCCUCUCUCUUUCGCUGAUUACUUGCCUGAUCUCACUGUAAGUUUAUAUGAAUCUGUGAUUUAUGUCUUAUUUGAAUUGAUUUAAUGAUUUGUUUGUCUUAUAUAUGAGAAAAAAAUUGUUGUUGUUGCUUUGAAUUUUGGCUCAGUUAAGGGUUUCGUAUUCUGUGUAUUGUGGGACUUUGGAUCUAUUGUAUAAUAAUGUUAAUUAAUGUGAUGAAUUUGAUUAAGCUAUUGUAUAAUAAUGUUAAUUAAUGUAUGCAACUAUAAAAGGGCCCAGUUAGCCUUAAAACUGAUUACUUCUUUUGUGCACAAGAUUAAGCUAAUUGUAGACUUUAAAGUAACAUAUAUGAUGAAUUAAAAGAGUUCGAAAAUAUUAUAGUUUUGGUUUUCUAGUAAGGAUGUUGUGUCUAAGCAUGUCACUGGUUAAACUUGCACAGAUUGAUGACAACUGAUAGAUCGAUUAUUAUAAAAAAUUAAGAAUACAACUAUGUCUUUGGUACCAUAUAUGUAAUUGGGUUAUAUGCGAAUAAAUAGGAAUGAGAUAUAUUUUAGAUAAUUGGGCCGACCUCACCUAAUACUUUUAACAACGACACACACGACGUGUAAGUCGUAAGUCCUUUUAACAACAAAAGCCUUUUCCUAAAUCAACCUGACCCAACCCGAAACCCGCUCCAACCCGAACAUGUUCUGACCCGAACCCAUUCCGACCCGAACCCGUUUUAACCCAAACCAAAACAACCCUUUUUUAGAAUACUAAUAAUUUACUUUUAUAAAUUCUAACUUUUUAACUGUGUUAAAACAAUUGAACUAUGUUAAAACAGACACCUGGAAUUCGGGUCGGGUCGGGUCAUGGGUCAAAUGUAUUAGUUCGGGUCAUGGUUUUAAAAACGGUUGAUGCGCGCCUCAGGGGGUCAAAAAUGCCCCCUAUUAAAACAUAAUCAAUUUGGGACUUGUAUUUACUUCGGUAUGAUCAAAAAAAAGUUAAGAGCUAGUAACUAGACUUUUAAGGUCAAAUGGACUUGUAUACAAUUUCACACUUAUUUUAAUGUUUUAGAUUUCUUUCAAACGGAUCAUGGUUUGACUUUGAAGGUCAAAUAUAUUAGCAUCAAGAAUUUGUAGUGCUUCAUUUAGAUUUGGAUAUGCUGUUUAAAAUGCAGACUUUUGUAAUAAGUUUUUAUCCAGCGAUUUUAGAUCUUAUUUAUAUAUGUUGGAGUGAAUUUGCUUUCAUCUUUUCAUUUAGGUUGCUUAUAUUAUAUUUGAUUGAUAGAUGUUAAAGAAGAAAUGGUUCAUAUUCAGUUAUGAUUACCAACAAUCCGAACUGUAGUGACAGUCAUGAAUAUAAUCUAUAUGUUGCGAGUCUGAUGCACACUCUAUUUGAUAUCCAGACUUCUUUCUAUAUAAUACACAAUU